UCGGCACUAUUUUUUUCUGCACAGCGCAAAUCAAAUGACAUCAUGAAUUUCUCUAAACCUCGAGGGUGACACAGCCCUUUGGAAUCCAGUGCUGUGAGCGCUCAGUGCUUGUGAGUAGCCGGGCUGCGUCCCUGCCUCCCCAACUCAGGCAGAGCAGAGGCCUCAGGCUUUCAGGGAGUGAACAGGAAGGAAAACACAGGAGCCAGCAGAUACCGAGAAAGCGUCUGCUGAGUUUGAGUCCUGGCCCAGUGGGUUGUGCCAGCAGGAAAGUGACUUCCAUGGGACGAGGCGUAUCACCUGCACCCAAGGCGCAGGGAGCGGUGGUCACAUUUCGUGCACCUAGAGAUUCUUGGGGACCCUCAAGAGCUGCGUCUCCUCUCGUCCUGAUGGCACCUGGUGCAGCAUGACUUCUGGACACAUCCCUGGGAUGCCAGUGAGAUUUCUGCCCAUCAAGGGCGCCCAGGUGGGCAAACUGACACAGCAGCCAGUGUGCUGUCCCACCGGGCAUCUGUCCCAAUUUAGGGACAUGAGCUGCCCGGUAAAGCCCCUCCCCACUACCUCCCCCCUCCCUCUUCUUGCUUCUUUGAUCCUCAUGCGAUCAUGUCAACAGCAGGAAAAUCCAGCCAGAAGGAAGAGAGCUAAGCACACAAGGAUCCAAGGAUCUGAGCAGGCCCCGCCCGACUCAGGGGUGAGGCUGACCUCCCAGGACGGACAGAGGAGAUUACUUCACAGAAAAGCAUUGUGGGGUCAAAGCAGAGCAGGGCUCAAAGAGCCAUUUUAAUCGACUUUUUCUGCAAUCAAAACAUUCAGCCGCUUGCUCACGCUAGGACGCUCUGUUCUUCGAGUCAGUAAGAUCCCCAUUCCAGAAUGUCCUGCCGUGAGGUUUUCCUCAGUGUCCCUCCAGAGCUUUGUUCCUGUGCACGAAGGCAUGUCUCCCACAGGCUUUCCCACUGGCUAGGGCUGGGCUGCGCGGCCAGAGUGCUUUCUGUUUGGAGUCCCUGCUUCUGGACAUCAUCAUCCACAAGCACGUGGUCCACAGGCAGCGGCUGGGGGGGGUGCCUGGGUUCUUUUGUCACGUUGCCCCAGGACUCUGUGUGUGUGUGCCCACGUGUGAGUGCGUGUGUGUGCGAGACUCUGUGAAACAGGUGUCAUUGGCCUUUUCUCUCAGAUCUUCUUGUACUUCUGAUACUCCUCUUGCCACAAACAUGACUUUCCCUUAUGAACCGAGUUGAUCUCGGAAUCUCCCUGGUCAGUCCACAGUGUGCAGAAGCGGCGUCCCCCCUCUUUCCAGCCUCCGACCUCCCCCGGGGCCCCCAUCCCGUGGGUCUGGACCCUGGCCCUGACCCGCUUCCACUCAGGUCUUUGUAAGAGCCGAGCGAUCCAGUUCACAGGGAGAGGUCUCUUUGCCUGCGCUGCUCAGAGCCUGACCCCUGCUGGCCCCUCUGGGAGCGGCCAGGGUGGGUGGAUGCCAGGACAGACAAGGACAGGGACAGGGACAGGGAUGGGGGAGGCAGGUUCCCGAGCCAGCGCAGAGGGCCGCCUCUGCAGCCCCGCAGGUGCUUUCUCAGUGGGACUUGGACUUUGGCCGUGAGGACCUGUCCUCCUGCCCCCUGAGCAGCCAGCCUAACCGGCGGAGCAGGCUUUACCUCUUUCACGUGGUCCCCUGAGGGGUGAGUGGCCUGGAGGAGGGGCGCCAGCCACAGCCCAGAUCGUCCCUGAGACUCCACAGGGUGGGACGCUUCGUGGGUCUCAACCAAUGCCUCAGGCCACCCGUGAUUCUUGGAGGCUCCACAGGAGAGAAAGCAAAGACAUGGACCCUCGGCCUUGCUGAUGAACACCUGCCCCCACACUGCCUCUCCUGCCUGAGCUUCUUUCCAAAGACCCAGCGCACACAAGACUUCACUCGUGUGUGUCGUGUGUUGUGCUCGCCUGCACUUGGGCACAUCCCUGUGGAGUGUCAAGCGACCCACUCAAGAGCCGCAUUCCAGCCCUCUCAUGGCAGCUGGCCUGUCCCUGUGUGGGGACUCGGCACGGGACGUGGUAUUUAUAGUCCGCAUCGCGGGUCCCGCCUCACCACGCGUUUCUGCAGCAGGAGAGAGCGAGCCACAUGGAUCCCGACCGUGAAUGAAUAAGACUCCUUCCCUUGCCCAUUAGCCCCGGAGUCAGCCUUUGGUCAUCUAAGGCAAGUCCUUGUCCACAGCAAACCAACCAAGCGCCACCUCAGGAAGCCACUUUUUGCAACAGUCUUCACAUGUGGAUGAUACAAAGGCAUUUGAAAAGUCAGGAUCAAUGACCACUCUGCUGCCACGAUUUCCCCCUUUCCGCAUGGAUGUUGACCCUUCAGAAGUUUGGUUGUGUUAGGACGGCGUGCCAUCUCCUCCCUGAGGUCCCGCUGCCCUCCAUCCAGAAGGCGGGCUCCAUGGACACGCCCUAUACUCUGCUUUUCACUGAGAGUGGGCAGCAGGUUCACCCAAGAGCUGUGAGCAAAUCCGCUGAGGGACUGGCUCCCUCCACCCCCAGGGUUCCAUCCUUCAAGCCCACGAUGGCUUUCCUGCUCCAUCCACGGUUGGGCUCGCAGGGUGGGUCAACUGCACUGUGCGGUGGAAUCCUGUCUCCCAGCUGUAACCUGUCACCUGCCCCAUGACCUGCACGGCCUCCCCGAUCUGCUCACAUCAGUGUUUACAGACUGUGUUCUGCUCCACAGAAAGGAGUGUCCCGUGGUUGAAUACUUAUGGAAGCCUCUGGAGAUUAUAGUCCCCUGUAAGAGAUCCAGAAAGCGUACUCAAAAUGCACAGAACUCCCGCCGCACGGAAGCCCGUUCACAUUCGUGUCACCCCACACGUCCUGGGGGUCUUUGGACUGGAGCCAUCUUGCCCGUCUGCCCCAAGAGGGUGCCUCUCUGCCCACCGCGCCUCCCUCUCUGGCCCUGCUCUUCCAGCCUGAAAAGUCAGCCCACACCUCUUUCCCCAUAAAUCUUCCCCUCCUUUCACUGCCGACCGUGCACUCCCUCACAUUCCCUCAGCUCUCAAGGUCCCUGUAACACGAUGUACCAUCCGAUCUGAGAUGCAUGUUUUAUGGACGUUGGGCCAAGAGUCCUUUGAAAGUGGGAGUCACGUUCUGUUCCUUCCCUGUGCCUGGACCAGCACGGAGCAGGCACAGACCGGCCAGCACUCCUCAGCUGCUGGACCUUUUCCCAAUGCUUAGUCGCUCGGCGUCCCUCCUCCUGGAUGGCUUGGCUGGGUUUGCUCAUUAGUGCCUCUACCAGGGAUGAAGGGCGGGGGAUGAAAGGCAGAGCUGGCGCCCUGUGUCAUUAGCCAACUCCUAACAUGGUGCAGGGGUUUGCUUGGCCAAAGGGAAUUGUUUGUAUAUUUCUGUAUUUGAAGAGCCGAAGGAGAAAUUUCCUCUCCAGUGUGUGUCUGUGUGUCUGUCUGUGUCUGUGUAUAUGUGUGUCUCUGUCUGUAUAUCUACAGAUGUAUGUAUGUCUAUGUUAUGUCUGUAUACGUGUCUGCGUACAUGUCUAUGUAAGUGUGUACGUAUGUCUGCACAUGUCCAUGUGUGUCUCUGGAUAUUUGUGUGUGUCUGUUAUGUCUGUGUAUGUGUGUCUCUGUCUGUGUCUGUGUGUCUCUGAAUGACUCUGUGUAUGUAUGUUUAUGGAUGCAUGUUGUAUAUGUCUCUAGGCUUCUUUGUGUGUCUGUAUAUGUGUGUGUGUUUGUAGAUGUGUGUGUGCAUGGAUGUGGUGUCUACACUCAUGUGAACCCAGGGCACCCACAGUUGGUCCAGCCUACUCUCUGACACAGGACACCUGAGUCUUGCAGGCAUCCUGAGUGUCCUCAGUGAUGGCCAUGUCGUCGCAGCUUCCCCAUCCUCCCGGCCUCUGUCCCCUGGGUUUUCCACUGCACCACGGUGUCCAGACCCUGGAGCAGUAGGACACUGAGUUUCAACAUGUCCUCCAACUGCAGCCCACCGCUUGCAGCCUGGAGGGGACAGCCCAGCUGAGUUGCAUCUCUGCAUGUCCCAGGAACCCGGCCUGGCUCCAGAGCCAGCCCUGCCAGUUCUGUGGGGAGAUGCCUCUAGAAAUGUCACAACCAGCAUGUCACUGGCUUCUCCACCUCCUUUGCUUUCUAGACCAAAUGAUGACCAGACGUGGGCCUGGGCCACUCAGCUCUUCAGAGGCUCUGGGCCUUGCCCGCACCAAUUCACCGAGUGGGAAGCCCUGGAGGGGUGGCCCUCAGUGCCCACACCACAUCGGUCCACGAUGGAAGCUUUACCUGCUCGGCCAUCCCUUGGCGUGGCGACUUUCAUUUCUUGCAAAUGAUGAUGAUCUCUUCUUUCUUUCCCUGGAGACCUCAAACAUUCCUCUUUACAUUUGAAGUUCCCAAAUGAAUAUUUUUAAAAUGUAUUCUGCUGUGAAUUUGCCUUGUAAAUAGGGCCGGCUACCUCAUUUGCAGGACUCAGUGCAUUUUAAAAUGUGGGACCCUUGUUCAAAAGGCAGGAAAACAGCACUUAAUGAUACCAAAAUAUAAAGCUCUCCUUUCCUCCAUUUUUUCUUGACUUGCCGUGGUGUUUUUGUUACUUAAUGUCGUUGCAAGUAAAGAAAAGUGAAAAUUUUAAAUUAUUAGCAUGUCUUAGCAUUCACCUUUAUAUUGUGCAAUGCCAGUUUUAAAUGCAAAUUCGAGUGCAUUUAACUCGCACGAGGAACCAUUGAAAUUACGUAGUUUGUAUUUUGUAGCUUGUACACACAUGAGUAUUUCAUUUUUACCAGAACAGGGGAAAUGCUGCACAAAACCCAUCCCAUCAUCUUUAGUUCACGUCUUGACACCGUGGCUUAGUGAGGAGAAGGGCAGGACUGAAGGAUAGGCGCUAUGGGCCCCCUCUUCCCUUCCAUCCUGCGUCAUCACUUUCAGACAAGUGGCUGUCUGACCAGGGACGUUCAAUGGGGAGAAAGAAUAGGACAAGUGCCUGGGCCAUUCGUGUUUCUGAGAAGGUCACUGCCUUCUUUUGCAUUUGAAGCGAGUUCAGCUUCAAGUGGCGCGUCUGGCUUCUCAGAGCUGUCAGUGCCCCACUUACUCAGCUGUAAAGGGGACGCGCUUACCUGUACUUGCUUGCAGUCUUGCCAAACUGCAUGCAUCUUUGGUCCACACUCUGUGUUUAUGGGGCAUUGUGAACACAAAUGGGACAGCAAGAACCGGCAGACAGCAGCUCCACGUGGCUUCUUCUCUGCUAACACACACCCUCCAUUGUCUCAUAGGACUUCACUGACAAAACAAAUCCCAAAUCAAAUUAUUAACAAUUCCAAGAUGGUGUCCACAGAGCAUGAUGUCAGGUGGAAGCCCUUUUGAGUGUAGAGCCCGUGUGACGGUGAAGGCCACACAGCUGUGAGGCCGGCCCCGCACAGAACUGAGAAAGUCCUGAUACGCGCUCUUCUGUUGGUUAGCUGAGUACCUUCUUCCCUGGAUUCUGCCUGUUCCCUGGGACUCCUGGUAAAUACAUGACGAGACUUCUGGCCCUCCCCUUCAUGUGCCCACUUCUCCCUCUGAUCGUGAUCUCUUUGUCCUUAUGAACAUUCUUCAAGAAACCCUUGAUCUUUCAGUUCAAUACUUCAUCCUUCAAUGUGUCUGUUCAAUCAUUUUUUAAAUUUUGAAGUUUUAUAGUUCUUUUUCUAACAGCCUCAUCUUGUUUUGUGGAUGGUUUAUAUUCUCUAAUCUCCUGGACUAUAUUAAUGAUAAUUACCUUGAAGACUUUCAUCUUAGUCUGCAUUGGCUCUUCCAGUUGUUGAGUUUGAUUGCCACUUUCCCAUAGCGUCCAUUUUGCUCCAACUAUCCGUUCAUCUUGCUUGGCUAUCUACUUUCCUUUCUGUUUGGGAAUCCUCGGCCAGCAUGGUUGUCUGGGCUCCGUUUUCUCAUUUGUAAAAUAAGGGCCUCAAGCAGAUCAGCGGCUUUCCACUCUUUUUAGCUUUGGGAAAUGUCAAAUGAGAACUUAUUUGUGAAAGCACAGUGUGUAAGUGGAGGGGGUACAGCAAUCAUCACGGCAGGUGACCUUGAAGGUCCCUCCUGCGACCCCACUCAAGACAGGCCUGGCCCUGGGGCUCCUGGGCCCUUCCACACAGCCUGACCCAGCAGCUAAUGGACCAGGUCAUCCAGAUGGUCAUUUCAGGCUCAAUAUUAUGGGAUUCCUUGUGGGGAGCACAUAGAUUGGAACUUCUGUGAAAUGCCUCCCUGCAUGUCCAUUUUGGCAUGGUUCUAGAGAUGGAAGGGUCCCCUGGCAGACAGACUCCCAACGACUUGCUCAAUACCACCCUCUGGAUGGGAACAGAACUCCCAUCAGUGGCUUCCAGAUAAAGUCUCGACAAAGAAAGCCACACAGAACAGUGGUGACGUCAGUUCUGUAAAACUCACAAUUACAUUCUUUUCUUUAAGUGGACCUCCUGAUUUCAAAGGGAUCAUUUCCAAAAAAGACUGGGCCGGGCUCCAGUCUUGGCCUCUGUGGAUAAUAUCAAAGUAGAUGCUAUAAAUUAGUAAAUUCAUGGCAGUCUAUCAUAAACGAGACAAAACGGCCUUUGCUGCGAGACCCCACGGCUGCUCUUCCUCAGCCCGUGCGGAGCAGACGCCAGGUGGGACGGGGCUCCGUGGACCUGCUGUCUAGUUUCUGAUCUAGAAACAAGUCAAAGCACCAGUGUGGAAAUACCUGCUGUUCUUAAAAUAGGUCUAUGUGGCUCAGUGUUUUUUGUUUUUCCUUAAGGGCACUUGAGAUUCAACACAAAAAUGAGGAAGUGAAAGCUUUGAAUUGGUUUGUCCUCUUUUAUCAUCUUGGGGAGGAUGGUUCUUUUUUGUAAGUGUUUCUGGGAGGAAAAUUGAAUUUAUUUCUCUUAAGAGGUCAGUUUUACAUGAAUCAAACUAGUAACAACAACAAUAUUAAUAAUAAUAAUAAUAAAUCCUGUUCAGAACCUCGAGAAAGUCUGCAGCUGGAGACUGGUCUUCCCUCGGCUCUGGAGGUGUCCGGCUCAUCGGCCUCCCCAGGGUCUCUCCUCCUUGCACCCUGGGACGAAGGGCUGCCCCUCACGCCUCUGCUUCAUCUUGAACUCUGAUCUCCUUGUCCUUUAGCA
ensembl:lncRNA